UGGCCAUGAUGAAAUCAAAUGCAUGUGCCGGAGACGGAUUCGUCUAUCGCUGACGGUAACACAAUCCCUCUAAGAAGUUCUGAGUCA